UUAAAGAGAUUUAUUUAUUUCUGGCAACAUGGUGUUGUGAGCGAGUAUCUGAAGCGAAUAAACGAAACGGAACGGAACAGGAGCAAUUCCUUCACUUGUCAGCUAGAAGCUCACACCCUAAAAAAAAGGCGAAAAAAUAACCCCCGACCAAGAAGAAGUCAAAAACUCAUUUAUUAUUUAAAUAAUAUGCAAAGGAGACGGGGCCGAAGGAAACACGAAUAAAAUUCCGCCUGUUGUUCAUUUUUAUUUAGAGGAGCCAGUGCAGAAGAUGAUGAUGAUGAGGCCCGACAAGUUAAAUUUCCCUCGGCCCAAGGAUGUUCGGUGUCAGUCAGACAUCCGCUGUCAGUUGGUGUGGCGAGAAAAGAUACAAAAUUUGGCAAAGCAAGUUUUCGCAAUUCGAACAAGACAAUACAAAUCAAAUAGUUGAUUGCACAUGCAAAAAA
rnacentral:sRNA from 1 species